AUAAUAAUAUGCCUUGUGACAUAUCAUUUGAAAACAAAUAACUAGCUGGUCAAUAAAGUUAUUAAUUCCUUCUGUAUGAUGUUAUUAGGAAAUGUUCAAAACCAGACCGCUCUGCCUAGGAAAAAGCUGUUAAACAGGUCUAUCCUUAAACAAAGAAAUGUGUGUUUACCCCAGUUUACAUGUAAGUAGUAAACAGGACCAUCAAGACAGCCAGGGGAGGAGACGGCAGGAAUCAGAACAAUUUGCAUUUCAGCAAACACAGGUAGGGGAAGAAAGAGCAUGGAGUUUCCUUCACCACCAGACUCCAUGUUGCCUUCCUCAUAGCUUGAAUAAACUUUACUUUGAGGGGUAUCGUUCAGGAGAAUCCACUUCAGAGAUUCAAUGGACUAUAAACAAAAGGGUCAGAGAACCCCAAGUUAAUCACUUUCACUUAAGAUGUCAAAGGCACCAGAACCUCUAGCCUCUGGAAGAGAUCCUGAUCAAAGAGAGGGUAAAUCACCCUCUUGCUAGAAGGCUGAAAGUGAUAAAGGCCUUCUUGAACAAAGCCUUCAACCAAAACUUGCUAAAAUAAGUUUUAGAUGUGUGUUUAAACUUUUAUUUCCUCGUGACCAUAUCUAACUUUAUCUUUUAUUCUUGAACUCACUUAAAAUCUAUUAAAAACUAUUAAUCUAAACCAACAGUGCUGUGUUUGUACUAAAGUGAAAGUCAACUCCAGUUAAUGUAGGAAACUGGUGCGUUUUGUCUCCUUAAAGAAGCAAAUUAACUAUAUUAUUUCUUUUUACUAGGAGAGAGCUGAACAUUAUAGUGCACAUGAUUUUGGGAAGUUUCAGGACUGGAAGUGUGUUGGGGUCACUCUGCAAGUAGUAACCAAGACUAGUGAAAACCAGAAUGGGGCUAUACACAGGCUAUGAUGGUCAGAGCUGCUAAACCACGGGUGUAUAGCACAAAGACACUCAGGGUGUGACCUGCAUGAUGGUAAAUUCAUCAUGGAGGAGCCACAUCCUUGUGAAGUUUCUCCAGACUCGGAAGGAGGACUUGACCUUCAUCUUGUGAGACAAGAUCCCGUUGCAGAGGGAGAUUGUGUGGCAAACACAUUGCCAUGUACCUCAGGUUGACUUUCUACAUCGCUACGGGGCUCUGUCUCAGGCAGAGGAUGGUUGAGAAGGAACUGAGGGGCAAUCAGGUCAUGCAUGCUAGUCAAGGUGUCAAUAGCACCAUGAGACAAAUAUUGCGCAUGCGCGGCCCUGACAGACACUGCUACCGAAAAUCUCCAAUUGACGGUGAUGCGAUGCACCGACAUCUUAAGCGGAGUACCCACAGGGACAGCAUUUGAAGAAGAAUUAUUUCUUAUGGACACAAUGAUUGACAGUGAUUUCCUCCCCUCCUUUUUUCACCAACUGAUUUCUUCUGAUACGGAGUUUUGUGUUCCACACUGCUUAUCUCAGAGUACAUGUUAUACCAGUACCCAAUAAUCUGCACACCUAAUAAUACAUUUUCAAGUUUAGUUCAAACUGUUAGUUUUUAGAGUUCUGCAUGGUUUGAAACCCAGUUACUUCUGAGACUGCUUCUCUCUGUGUGUGUGAUACUGCUACAUUAGCUAUCAGAGAAGACACGCAAGUCAGAGAUCCCUCAGUUUAAAUGAGAAACUGAUGGCAGGGCAUUCUCCAAGAAGAGACCUUACUUGUACUGCUUGGUCCACCAGUGUGUAUUGUUAACCCUUUGUGUUCAUUACAAAGCCCAUCUUUUCUCUUGGGUAUCUAGGAGGUAGUCAGUUGAUGGAACAAGAAAUAUUGCUUUGAUGGUAAGCUUAUUAUG